rnacentral:rRNA from 1 species
UACGUAGGGACCUAGCGUUGUCCGGAAUCAUUGGGCGUAAAGCGCGCGUAGGCGGCCCGGUAAGUCCGUUGUAAAAGUCGAAGGCUCAACCUUCGAAAGCCGAUGGAUACUGCCGGGCUAGAGUCCGGAAGAGGCGAGUAGAAUUCCAGGUGUAGCGGUGAAAUGCGUAGAUAUCUGGAGGAACACCAGUGGCGAAAGCGCGUGACUGGGCCACAACUGACGCUGAGGAACGAAAGCCAGGGGAGCGAAAGGG